ensembl:lncRNA
UAGGAGCUCAUGAAGAUUUUAUUUAGGUCCCCCAAUACUAACACAAAGUGAGGGUAUUUAUCAGAAUAUAAUUCAAAUGUUAAUAUGUUUGGUUAGGGGUUAACGAGGGGUCUUACCUCUAUAGUGUGUUCCUCUUUAUCUUCCCGGUCUAGUUCAGCCAGUGUCAGGAUCACACCUAAACAAACAGAAACAGGAAAACACACAGUAAGAUCAUUAGUGCUUGGAGGGCUUCUUUGGUGUGUGUGUGUGUGUGUGUGUGUGUCAGUGAUAUCAUGCACAUACUUGUGGAGAAAGUGUGUGUGUGUGUGCAUGCUUUAGGCUUGUUAAUUUAUUGAAUGCACAUGUGGGCCUGGGCAUGCAUUGUUGUGAUUAUGUGUAUGUCUGCUUAGUGUGUACCGAGAUUGUGUGUGUGUGUGUGUGUUUGUGUGCGUGCGUGCGUCUGUGUGUGUUUGUGUUUGUUCAAUGAGAGUACUCUGCUGACAUCUGAACCAACAGUGUGUGUUGGGGGUUGUUAAUGUGAGGACAGGAGGUGGGGGGCAUGUUUCUGAUCUUAAAGUCUUAAAGUCUGCGUGUGUAAGUAAGUAGUCUGCGUGUCACAUAUUCCCAGUCCUGCUUCGACUUGUGUACGGUUUGAUGAACACUUCCUUGUGUUUGUGUUUCUUGUCGCUGUCCAUGGGUGUAUUUGUGUGAGUGUUUGCUUUGCUUUUGGUGUGUGUGUGUGUGUGUGUGUGUGUGUGUGUGUGUUUGGACAGACCAGACAGGCACCACACCCAGUAUACCCUGAGUGCUCUUAUCCGAUUGGUCAAUAUAUUUUUCACGGUGUUUAUGCAUGUAGAAACAUGCACAUAAGCCUGUAUGUGUGUGUGCCUGCCUGUGUGUGUGUACCUGUGUGUGUGUGUGUGUGUGUGUGUGAGCAGGGUGGGCUGUCUGUGCCUUAGGUGUGAGGAGGGGUCGUAGAUCUAGGUGGAGGUUGGGUCAAGAUGAGAUACGUGAAGAGUGUGGAGGCCCGGUAUGUAAGCAGGCGGGGAGAGCUUGAGGGGUUGCAGGGGCCAAUAAAAGUUGUCAUGUGCGUGGGUGUAUGUUUGUGUGAGAGAGAAAGAGACCUUAUUUUUUCUCUUUGUAUUUUACAAUGAUUCCUUUGUUAAAUUGUCCUAAACUUCCUUGGCAAUUGAAAUGAAUAUUUUCCAUGCAGAUAAAGAUCUUCUGAAUUGUGUGUGUGUGUGUGUGUGUGUGUGUGUGUGUGUGUGUGUGUGUGUGUCGGGGGGUCACUGUGUGUUGUUUCAGGAGAGCAACAGCUGGUUGAGAUUGGAGAGUGUGAUAGCAGGUGGGAGCAGUAGAAAGUGUGUUUUAGUCAUUGACCUGACAUGGGAACCAGGGCAUUACGCUGUGUCUCCCAUUCUAUCAGAGUACACUCUCGGGCUGGGUUUGUCCAAACUGCUUGAACAUAAACAGAAGCCUUGCAGAUCAGGGUUUGUUUUGUGGGUUCCCCGGACUAAGUGUCAACACUAUCGACCACCAAUAAUUAUUAAUUUGAAUACUUAUAUAUUCCUUUAUUGUUCUAAUCAUGUCUUUCAAAACUGACCAUUAGGAACAGCCCCAAAGGGUCUGCCUAGGGUCUUUGUGAUUCGCUUGACAUUGGUUUAAUCUUAAAUCCAUGAUGACCCUCUUUAAAUCCAUGCCCCCUUGUUCCUUUGAUUUAAGAUAAGGGUUGGUUAGUGGGUUAAGGGUGUUGGACUCAAAGCCUUGGAGUUUUUGGUUUGAACACCAAUAUCCACAGUGUACCGCUAGAAAAACGUGCUUAUCCCUGCUAGCAUGUAGCAGUUAAAUAAGCAUGCUACAGUUGCAAGCCAGAUACAGCUGGGGUAGCAUGCUAAAGCUGUGCUAGCAUGCUGCAAUUGUUCUUGCCUGCUGCAGUCAAGCUAUUAUUUUCCUGUAAAGCUAGCCUGAUGCUACUUUCAGGCUAGCCUUCUAUGGCUAAGCUGUCUUCUACUAUCAUUCUACAGUAUGAUGCUACAAUAAAAGCUAGCCUGAUAAAGCUGAGGCGUCAUGCUUGGGCUGUGCUAGCAUGCAACAGUUAAACUAGCAGAGCAAGCCUGCUGCAGUUUAACCAGUCAAGCUAGCCUGCUACGUGCACUGAGUCACCCUUGUCCUGCCUAGACAUGAGGCAACAUUGUCAUUCACCAGCUACAAACGUUGCUUUUUUAAAUGUGACCAUUCACUUUAUAAGUUCAGGUAUAGCCUACUGUGUUCCACUUCAUUCCAUUUGUCUUUUUAUUUUUAUUUUUUUUAAAUGUAAGACGCUUGGCACAAUCUGCCUGUUCAUACACUUUAUUUAUUUGUUCACAGAUUAUAUUUUAAUCUCGGAGUGACGUAAAAGAUGAAACAAUCUCAACUCCUGUCCAUGCUUUCAGAGAAAUUACAUCUUGACAUUUUGAAAAUUACCAUCCGUAGAUAACAGGGAUGUUUAGCGACUUUAUUACUCCUACUCUUUCCACACACGCAAAUGGUAAUAAAUAUAGAAUCUGAAGCUUCUGAAGUACAGAAACGUUGCAAGUCAGCUCAGCAAAAGAA